rnacentral:tRNA from 1 species
UAUAAAGUGCCUGAUUAAAGGAGUAUUCUGAUAGAAUAAAUUAAAUAAAUGUAAAAUUUAUCUUUAUAA